rnacentral:rRNA from 1 species
UAACCUGCCUGGUAGCGGGGGGUAACUAUUGGAAACGAUAGCUAAUACCGCAUAAUAUAGAUGUUGCAUGACAUUUACUUAAAAGGUAGCAAUUGCAUCACUACCAGAUGGACCUGCGUUGUAUUAGCUAGUUGGUGGGGUAACGGCUCACCAAGGCGACGAUACAUAGCCGACCUGAGAGGGUGAUCGGCCACACUGGGACUGAGACACGGCCCAG